rnacentral:rRNA from 1 species
UACGUAGGGUGCGAGCGUUAAUCGGAAUUACUGGGCGUAAAGCGUGCGCAGGCGGUUAUAUAAGACAGUUGUGAAAUCCCCGGGCUCAACCUGGGAAUUGCAUCUGUGACUGUAUAGCUAGAGUACGGUAGAGGGGGAUGGAAUUCCGCGUGUAGCAGUGAAAUGCGUAGAUAUGCGGAGGAACACCGAUGGCGAAGGCAAUCCCCUGGACCUGUACUGACGCUCAUGCACGAAAGCCAGGGGAGCGAAAGGG